AGAGUUUGAUCCUGGCUCAGAACGAACGCUGGCGGCAGGCUUAACACAUGCAAGUUGAACGGGAUUGUUAAGUAGCUUGCUAUUUAACAAGAGAGUAGCGCACUGGUGAGUAACACGUGGGAACGUACCUUUUGGUGGGGGACAACAUCUGGAAACGGAUGCUAAUACCGCAUAAGACCUGAGGGUGAAAGAUUUAUCGCCGAAAGAACGGCCCGCGGAAGAUUAGGCAGUUGGUGGGGUAAAGGCCUACCAAACCUACGAUCUAUAGCUGGUCUGAGAGGACGAUCAGCCACACUGGAACUGAGACACGGUCCAGACUCCUACGGGAGGCAGCAGUGAGGAAUAUUGGGCAAUGGAGGCAACUCUGACCCAGCCAUGCCGCGUGAGUGAGAAGGUUUUCGAAUUGUAAAGCUCUUUCGGGUGUGAAGAUGAUGACGGUAACACCAGAAGAAGCCCCGGCAAACUUCGUGCCAGCAGCCGCGGUAAUACGAAGGGGGCGAGCGUUGUUCGGAAUUACUGGGCGUAAAGGGUGUGUAGGCGGUUAUGUAAGAUAGCGGUGAAAUCCCGGGGCUUAACCUCGGAAUAGCCGUUAUAACUAUGUAGCUAGAGUUAUGGAGAGGAUAGCGGAAUACCCAGUGUAGAGGUGAAAUUCGUAGAUAUUGGGUAGAACACCAGAGGCGAAGGCGGCUAUCUGGGCAUUGAUUGACGCUGAGGCACGAAAGCAUGGGGAUCAAACAGGAUUAGAUACCCUGGUAGUCCAUGCUGUAAACGAUGAAUGCUGGUUGUCGGCUUUAGGGUCGGUGACGAAGUUAACGCGAUAAGCAUUCCGCCUGGGGAGUACGGUCGCAAGAUUAAAACUCAAAGGAAUUGACGGGGACCCGCACAAGCGGUGGAUGAUGUGGAUUAAUUCGACGCAACGCGAAAAACCUUACCUAGCCUUGACAUGUCAGGAACCCGGAUGAAAGUCUGGGGUGCCCGCAAGGGAGCCUGAACACAGGUGCUGCAUGGCUGUCGUCAGCUCGUGUCGUGAGAUGUUGGGUUAAGUCCCGCAACGAGCGCAACCC
rnacentral:rRNA from 1 species